rnacentral:rRNA from 1 species
GACGAACGCUGGCGGCGUGCUUAACACAUGCAAGUCUAACGGAAAGGCCCUGCUUUUGUGGGGUGCUCGAGUGGCGAACGGGUGAGUAACACGUGAGUAACCUGCCCUUGACUUUGGGAUAACUUCAGGAAACUGGGGCUAAUACCGUAUAUGAGCUUCUGCUGCAUGGUGGGGGUGGGAAAGUUUCGGCGGUUGGGGAUGGACUCGCGGGUUAUCAGCUUGUUGGUGGGGUAGUGGCCUACGAAGGCUUUGACGGGUAGCCGGCCUGAGAGGGUGACCGGCCACAUUGGGACUGAGAUACGGCACAGACUCCUACGGGAGGCAGCAGUGGGGAAUACUGCACAAUGGGCGGCAGCAUGACGCAGCACCGCCGCGUGCGGGAUGACGGCCUUCGGGUUGUAACCCGCGUUCGCCUGUGACGAAGCGUGAGUGACGGUACUGGGUAAAGAGGCACCGGCUAACUACGUG